rnacentral:RNase_P_RNA from 1 species
CGAGUUGACUAGACAAUCGCUGCCUAAUUUAUUUCGAUAUUAUUAGGGGGAGGAAAGUCCGGGCUCCAAUGAGCAGGGUGCCAGGUAACGCCUGGGCGGCGUAAGCCGACGACAAGUGCAGCAGAGAGAAGACCGCCGAUGGUUAUCUUUCGAGAUUUCACAGGUAAGGCUGAAAGGGUGCGGUAAGAGCGCACCGGAUUGCUGGUAACAGUAAUUGCAAGGUAAACUCCACCCGGAGCAAGACCAAAUAGGAAUUCGUAUGGCGUGGCUCGCGUUGAAUUCGGGUAGGUUGCUUGAGCUAUAGAGCGAUUUAUAGCCUAGACGAAUGAUUGUCACUUUUCUUCGGAAGAGAUACAAAACCCGGCUUAUGUGUUGACUCAUAAA